AAAUAAACGGUGUAUCCUCUAUGAUGCUGAGAUUGCAGCCCACGCAUGGAAGAAAGAACACCCCCGCAAUUAGAUUUUUCUCAAGUGACGUUGGUGCUUAUUUUGUGGGAAACGGCAUUGGAGCUUGGUUUUGGCACAAGACGUGGGAGCUCAGGAAAGUAGCAUGUAUGCUGAAGUCUAUGGGCUGAACUCUGUUGUUUGAAGGGGCUUUGUCGAUAUUCGCGUACUUCAACUGCUGUGCGAAGUGGGGAGCCACUGUAUUUUGUUUUCCUGUAAAUGAGACCUGAUAGUUAAAACAGUAAAUUAAGAUAUAACUCAACUAUCCCCAAAAUCAUUAACUGUUUCCUUAUUCCUGUCAAUUAUUGACACUUUUCUAUUGGAAAACAGGUAGGGGUUUAUGGGUAAAGUUGUAUUUUGGGAAACAAUAGUAAAAUCCUAGAAUAUUUUUGUGGCAAGUCCAUCUUGUGUUUCCAUUACAAAUUGCCAUAUACUGAAAACCUGUUUUGUUUUCCAAUCGCAAUUAACCCUAAUCUAAAACGAAUGGAUUAACACACAUUGAAGCUGAUGGGAAAUGUUUACAUGACUCUGUUUACAUUGUGUUCUGGACCCUCCUGUACAGUGUCAUAAGCCUUGCAUAUCAAUUACACUCAGAUGCACAACAUAUCGUCCAUUUAAUUAAUAUACCUGCUGUUGGACCAAUCUUUAGCCAAAGGUAUUUUAAGGAUUUGAAGCGUUGCAUGAAAAUGAUGUAAAUUCACAUGGUGAGUUACAAUCAUGCCACUACCAAUGGGAGUCAUCAAUUUUGUCAAUGCAUGCAUGUCUCUAUCACUCUCUCUCACUGCCAUGCACCCCCUGUCUGUAAUUUCAAUGAAAGGCUCAACAGCUGCUCAGCCUCACUUGCAAUGGUAAUUUGACCUUUGAUAACCACAGAUUUCAGCCCAUGCAUUCCACCUCGUAUUCUGCUGCACAGAGAUAGACAGAGACAUAGGGCUUAAACUAUUUCACAGAUACACACUAUAUACUCUAAUUUCCCUGGUAUGAUAUUUCUCUUCUUGGUGCUA
rnacentral:lncRNA from 1 species